UCUCUGGUGGCUUAGAUGGUAAAGAAUCUGCCUGCAAUUCAGGAGGCCCAGGUUCGAUCCCUGGGUUGAGAA
rnacentral:tRNA from 1 species